UCUAUUAAAGGAAAAUGAAAGUAACUCAAACUCAAGGAACACAAUCUCACAGACUGAUCAAACUGUCUAGAGAAUUUCACUUUAUAAUCACAUAUGCCACAAUAUAAUGAUUGUAGCUUUCUGUAAAUAAACCAAUUAAUGAUACAAUAAUGCAAUCCUAUAGUCAUGUGUGAUGCAAAAAUCCAGGUUUGCAACAAAUUUAAGCAUCUAGAAACUCUCUCAAGCCAGAUGUGAGAGUUUAAUAAUACAGAAGAGCCUCACAUCAUGAAUAGAACCAAACUGGUGUUUUUAUAAAGAGUUUGGGUCAGUUUCUGUCACAAGCUUUUAUAUAAAAGUUUUUUUUUUUUUUACUGUACUAGACAUUCAAAGAGCGAUUUGGACAAACCCAGGCAUAUGAAAAAGUCAGAGCAAGAUACACUUUUGGUCCAGUGACAACUUUAGAUCCCAAACAACAUACGAUUGUGUGCACAUGCAUAUAUUUUAGGACCCAAACCUAUUCGUUUGUUUAUUUAUCAUCUCACAUUUAUGACUGUGUCUGUGGUGUCCUGAGAGGGACUAGCAUUCCAUCUAGUGUAUUUUCCUGCCUUGUGCUCUGGAUCCACUGCAAUCCUGACUAUAUUAAAGCACUUACUAAAAAUGAAUGAAUAAACAAAGCUCUCCCACAUCCAGCUUUGGCAACGCUGUUGAACCUGACAACUUGUUCAUGUUCGUGGAUGUGCUGAUCAGUUUUCACAGAUGUCUUAAGUAUCUGAGUCAUAAGGGACACCCCUGCAUGCUUCAAGACCAAGAUCAUUAUCCCCCUAGCAAAGCAGUUAACAGUAUUCAUUCUCUCUGUCAGCUCACACUGUUCAUCAUGAAGUACUUUGAGAGGCUAGUCCUGAAGCAAUAAAGACAAAACUCCACUUCCCUGGACCAAGUGCUGUAUGUUUAUUGCCCCAAGAGGUAUAGGGGUGAUGACAUUACUACCUCAUAGGGAAGCAUAACCUGAACACUGCAUAUGCAACUGGAUCCUGGAUUUGCACAAAGCCACUGCGGACAUAACAAAAUUUCAGGGGUACGUGCAGUGAACUAUUUCCACUCCUCCAUUAUGGAAGUUUCCUGGUGCACACAUUGCACCAUCUACACAGAUAAGAAGCCCAGCAGAAGAGAACACCUCCUCUCCAAUCCCACGUGCAUUGCGUACAGCAGGAGGAUUACAGUUGUUCCAGCUGAACUCCCGUGAUAGUCAUAAUGAAUCAUCAGUCAUGGGGUUCCUCACGUGGCUUCUUAGAGGAAAAUCCACACUCAGUUUUGGAGGAUGGAGUUGAACAUGGUGCAAAACCCCCCCUGACUUUUCUACAGACAGCAUCCUCAAUCCAUGGAAGGAAGGGCACUGAGAUAUAAGCAGACAUGAGCUUCCAUGCUGCGCGCUCUCAGUUCCAGAAUCAGUGAUUUCAGCUGAGCUACACCAACAUCCACAGGAGUGCUGUUUAAGAUUUUCCUACAUUUCUUAGUGUAAUAUC